GGCUAAACGAGGCCCUAGACGGCCGUGAUGAAGAAAUAGACAUGUUUAAGAAGCAGUUGAUGAAAGGUGAAGAGCUAGUCCGCAAGUGUUCCAAGAUUAAACGCUGCGACCCUUUGAAGAAGUGGAGUUACUCCAGGAAACUAACGAAGUUGGAUAAUACACUAGUGAAGUUCUGCCAGAUACACGGUUUAAUUCAGGUGGUUAGGGAUAGUAAACAGAUUCUGGUUAAGGUUAAUGAAAAUGGCAAGAAAUUGGAGGAGAUCCACUCGAUGAUGAGAGAUGUUUCAUUGACGAGAUCCGGGAGUAGUAUUGGAUUUACAAAUUCUAGUGCUUCUUCAGGGUGGAUGAAUGGUUCUAGUUUUGGGUUUUCAGGAUCGUCUGAUGUGCCUCAAGUUUCUGAUUCUAUGGUUGGAUUUGAUGUCCCACUUCAUGAACUGAAACAGAAAUUGAAGGUGCUUCAGGAGAAAGAUCAAGUGCUGGUUCUUUCUGCUCCUCCUGGCUGUGGAAAAACUACUUUGGCAGCAAGGCUUUGUCAAGAGGAUGAUAUCAAAGCCAUAUACAGGGACAACAUCUUUUUUGUCACUGUUACCAAAACACCGAACAUCAAACGCAUUGUUGGGGAAAUCUUUGAGAAGAAAGGCUUCAGGGUUCCAGAGUUUGCUAAUGAGCAUGAUGCAAUCUGCAAACUCAACAGCCUCCUUGGGGGAAUCACUCCUCAACCAAUAUUACUGGUGCUGGAUGAUGUUUGGUCUGAAUCAGAGUUCAUCAUCGAUCAUCUUAAAUUACAGAUAUCUGAUUUUAAGAUUUUGGUCACUUCGAGAUAUGUAUUCCCGAAAUUUGAUACAUAUAAAUUAAAGCUUUUGAGCGAGGAGGACGCAAAGGAUCUCUUCUGCAUUUCAGCUUUUAAAGAUGGCAGCCCUGAUGUGCGGCUUAAUCUUGUUCAUAAGGUGGUGAGAAGUUGUGGCGGUUUUCCACUGGCUCUUAGAGUUGUAGGUCGUUCAUUGUGUGGCCAGUCUGAGGUGAUAUGGUUUAACAGAGUAAUGAUGCAGUCUAAAAGGCAAAUUCUCUUCCCUACUGAGAAUGAUCUGCUUCGUUCUUUGCAAGCCAGCAUUGAUGCCUUGGAUGAAAAAGUUCUUUACAGCAGAGAAACAACUACAUUAAGAGACUGCUACCUGGAUUUAGGAUCAUUUCCUGAAGAUCAAAGAAUUCAUCCUGCUGCUCUUUUGGAUAUGUGGGUGGAACGAUACAAUCUAGAUGAAGAUGGCAUCACUGCAAUGGCCAUCUUCCUUGAACUUUCUUCACAAAACCUGGUUAAUCUCGCCCUUGCAAGACAGGAUGCACGAGCAGUUCUUGGCUUACAUAACUUGCAUUACAUACAGCAGCAUGAUAUGCUGAGAGAACUGGUCAUACACCAGUGUGAUGAGAAGCCGGUAGAAAAGAGAAUGAGAA
rnacentral:misc_RNA from 1 species